rnacentral:rRNA from 1 species
GAUGAACGCUGGCGGCGUGCCUAAUACAUGCAAGUCGAACGCAGUGGGUACGGGUGAGUAACACGUGGGUAACCUCGCAUCAGAGGGGAUAACACUUGGAAACCGGUGCUAAACCGAUACUGAUGGAUGGACCCGCGGUGCAUUAGCUAGUUGGUGAGGUAACGGCACACCAGGGCAACGAUGCAUAGCCGACCUGAGAGGGUGAUCGGCCACACGGGGACUGAGACACGGCCCAGACUCCUACGGGAGGCAGCAGUAGGGAAUCUUCGGAAAUGGACGAAAGUCUGACGGAGCAAUGCCGCGUGAGUGAAGAAGGUUUUCGGAUCGUAAAACUCUGUUGUUAGAGAAGCGGUAUCUAACCAGAAAGCCACGGCUAACUACGUGCCAGCAGCCGCGGUAAGUC